GAACGGGUGAGUAACACGUGGGUAACCUGCCCUGAUGAUUGGGACAACCCGAGGAAACUCGGGYUAAUACCGGAUGUGCCCUCGGGCCGUAAGGCCUCUGGGGAAAGGAAUGCUUMGGCCUCCGCAUUGGGAUGGGCCCGCGGCCCAUUAGCUUGUUGGUGAGGUAACGGCUCACCAAGGCAACGAUGGGUAGCUGGUCUGAGAGGACGAUCAGCCACACUGGGACUGAGACACGGCCCAGACUCCUACGGGAGGCAGCAGUGGGGAAUCUUGCGCAAUGCGCGAAAGCGUGACGCAGCAACGCCGCGUGGGGGAAGAAGGCCUUCGGGUUGUAAACCCCUUUCAGUUGGGACGAAGCUUCGACGGUGAAUAGCCGCCUGGAAAGACGUACCUCAGAAGAAGCCCCG
rnacentral:rRNA from 1 species